rnacentral:rRNA from 1 species
UCGAGCGGACAGAAGGGAGCUUGCUCCCGGAUGUUAGCGGCGGACGGGUGAGUAACACGUGGGUAACCUGCCUGUAAGACUGGGAUAACUCCGGGAAACCGGAGCUAAUACCGGAUAGUUCCUUGAACCGCAUGGUUCAAGGAUGAAAGACGGUUUCGGCUGUCACUUACAGAUGGACCCGCGGCGCAUUAGCUAGUUGGUGGGGUAAUGGCUCACCAAGGCGACGAUGCGUAGCCGACCUGAGAGGGUGAUCGGCCACACUGGGACUGAGACACGGCCCAGACUCCUACGGGAGGCAGCAGUAGGGAAUCUUCCGCAAUGGACGAAAGUCUGACGGAGCAACGCCGCGUGAGUGAUGAAGGUUUUCGGAUCGUAAAGCUCUGUUGUUAGGGAAGAACAAGUGCGAGAGUAACUGCUCGCACCUUGACGGUACCUAACCAGAAAGCCACGGCUAACUACGUGCCAGCAGCCGCGGUAAUACGUAGGUGGCAAGCGUUGUCCGGAAUUAUUGGGCGUAAAGGGCUCGCAGGCGGUUUCUUAAGUCUGAUGUGAAAGCCCCCGGCUCAACCGGGGAGGGUCAUUGGAAACUGGGAAACUUGAGUGCAGAAGAGGAGAGUGGAAUUCCACGUGUAGCGGUGAAAUGCGUAGAGAUGUGGAGGAACACCAGUGGCGAAGGCGACUCUCUGGUCUGUAACUGACGCUGAGGAGCGAAAGCGUGGGGAGCGAACAGGAUUAGAUACCCUGGUAGUCCACGCCGUAAACGAUGAGUGCUAAGUGUUAGGGGGUUUCCGCCCCUUAGUGCUGCAGCUAACGCAUUAAGCACUCCGCCUGGGGAGUACGGUCGCAAGACUGAAACUCAAAGGAAUUGACGGGGGCCCGCACAAGCGGUGGAGCAUGUGGUUUAAUUCGAAGCAACGCGAAGAACCUUACCAGGUCUUGACAUCCUCUGACAACCCUAGAGAUAGGGCUUUCCCUUCGGGGACAGAGUGACAGGUGGUGCAUGGUUGUCGUCAGCUCGUGUCGUGAGAUGUUGGGUUAAGUCCCGCAACGAGCGCAACCCUUGAUCUUAGUUGCCAGCAUUCAGUUGGGCACUCUAAGGUGACUGCCGGUGACAAACCGGAGGAAGGUGGGGAUGACGUCAAAUCAUCAUGCCCCUUAUGACCUGGGCUACCACCGUGCUA